CUCGACUAUGCCGGAGAUUUCCCAUUUCGGGAGGGAGUGCUUUCCGAUGAUCACCGUUUUGUUCAGGUGGAUGCCCACACCAUGCACAUGCUAUUGGUGGGAAAAAUGGCUUUAGUUAGGGAUGACAAAUUGUCUUUUAUUCGGAAUCGAACCAUCCCUAUUUGUGUUUCUGCAUUUCAAACUUAGGACCACCCCCAAAAAUCUAAGUUAAUAUUCUUGAUUCUUGAAAGUUGGAACUAAAUUUUCUUAUCUUGUUUCACUAUUUGUUAAAUAGGAAACAAAAAAAAUUUAAAGUUAAAAAAGAAGAAAAAGUAAUUUCCCGACCACAUGUGGUGUUUUAGGCAGUGUCCCCUCCUUUUGGAUUUUGACAUUUUGCCCUUACAUGAUGUAUUGUUUAAUUCGGAUUAAAAAUGUUCGUUUCAAUUUUACGAAUAUCUUGGUGAU